rnacentral:rRNA from 1 species
GACGAACGCUGGCGGCGUGCCUAAUACAUGCAAGUAGAACGCUGAAGGAGGAGCUUGCUUCUCUGGAUGAGUUGCGAACGGGUGAGUAACGCGUAGGUAACCUGCCUGGUAGCGUGGGAUAACUAUUGGAAACGAUAGCUAAUACCGCAUAAGAGUAGAUGUUGCAUGACAUUUGCUUAAAAGGUGCAAUUGCAUCACUACCAGAUGGACCUGCGUUGUAUUAGCUAGUUGGUGAGGUAACGGCUCACCAAGGCGACGAUACAUAGCCGACCUGAGAGGGGGAUCGGCCACACUGGGACUGAGACACGGCCCAGACUGCUACGGGAGGCAGCAGGAGGGAAUCUUCGGCAAGGGACGGAAGACUGACCGAGAAACGCCGCGGGAGUGAAGAAGGGUGUCGGAUCGUAAAGCUCUGUUGUAAGAGAAGAACGAGUGUGAGAGUGGAAAGUUCACACUGUGACGGUAUCUUACCAGAAAGGGACGGCUAACUACGUG